rnacentral:rRNA from 1 species
UGGGGAAUAUUGCACAAUGGGCGCAAGCCUGAUGCAGCCAUGCCGCGUGUAUGAAGAAGGCCUUCGGGUUGUAAAGUACUUUCAGCGAGGAGGAAGGCGUUGUGGUUAAUAACCGCAACGAUUGACGUUACUCGCAGAAGAAGCACCGGCUAACUCCGUGCCAGCAGCCGCGGUAAUACGGAGGGUGCAAGCGUUAUUCGGAAUUACUGGGCGUAAAGCGCACGCAGGCGGUCUGUCAAGUCGGAUGUGAAAUCCCCGGGCUCAACCUGGGAACUGCAUCCGAAACUGGCAGGCUAGAGUCUUGUAGAGGGGGGUAGAAUUCCAGGUGUAGCGGUGAAAUGCGUAGAGAUCUGGAGGAAUACCGGUGGCGAAGGCGGCCCCCUGGACAAAGACUGACGCUCAGGUGCGAAAGCGUGGGGAGCAAACA